rnacentral:rRNA from 1 species
CGUGUAGGCGGCUCGGUAAGUCCGCUGUAAAAGUCCAGGGCUCAACCCUGGAAAGCCGGUGGAAACUGUCGAGCUAGAGUCCGGAAGAGGCGAGUGGAAUUCCUGGUGUAGCGGUGAAAUGCGCAGAUAUCAGGAGGAACACCAAUGGCGAAGGCAGCUCGCUGGGACGGUACUGACGCUGAGACGCGAAAGCGUGGGGGAGCAAACAGGAUUAGAUACCCUGGUAGUCCACGCUGUAAACGACGGGCACUAGGUGUGGGGGGGUGUCGACUCCCUCCGUGCCGACGCUAACGCAUUAAGUGCCCCCGCCUGGGGAGUACGGCCGCAAGGCUAAA